ACCGGCAGCUCAAGUGGUGGCCAUUUUUAUUGGGCCUAAAGCGUUCGUAGCCGGUUUGAUAAGUCUCUGGUGAAAUCCCGCAGCUUAACUGUGGGACUUGCUGGAGAUACUAUUAGACUUGAGGUCGGGAGAGGUUAGGGGUACUCCCAGAGUAGGGGUGAAAGCCUAUAACCCUGGGGGGAUAACCUGGGGCGAAGGCGCCUAACUGUAACGAACCCGACGGUGAGUACCGUAAGCCAGGGGUGCGAACCG
rnacentral:rRNA from 1 species